ACUCCUACGGGAGGCAGCAGUGGGGAAUAUUGCACAAUGGGCGCAAGCCUGAUGCAGCAACGCCGCGUGAGCGAAGAAGGUCUUCGGAUCGUAAAGCUCUUUUCUUAGGGAAGAAAACUGACGGUACCUAAGGAAUAAGCACCGGCUAAAUACGUGCCAGCAGCCGCGGUAAUACGUAUGGUGCAAGCGUUAUCCGGAAUCACUGGGCGUAAAGGGGUGCGUAGGCGGUUUUGCAAGUCAGAAGUGAAAGGCUACGGCUCAACCGUAGUAAGCUUUUGAAACUGCAAGACUAGAGUGCAGGAGAGGAAAGUGGAAUUCCUAGUGUAGAGGUGAAAUUCGUAGAUAUUAGGAGGAACACCAGUGGCGAAGGCGACUUUCUGGACUGUAACUGACGCUGAUGCACGAAAGCGUGGGGAGCGAACAGGAUUAGAUACCCUGGUAGCACAGAG
rnacentral:rRNA from 1 species